rnacentral:rRNA from 1 species
UGGGGAAUAUUGGACAAUGGAGGAAACUCUGAUCCAGCAAUUCUGUGUGUGUGAAGAAGGUUUUAGGACUGUAAAACACUUUUAGUAGGGAAGAAAAAAAUGACGGUACCUACAGAAGAAGCAACGGCUAAAUACGUGCCAGCAGCCGCGGUAAUACGUAUGUUGCGAGCGUUAUCCGGAAUUAUUGGGCUUAAAGGGCAUCUAGGCGGUAAGACAAGUUGAAGGUGAAAACCUGUGGCUCAACCAUAGGCUUGCCUACAAAACUGUCGAACUAGAGUACUGGAAAGGUGGGUGGAACUACACGAGUAGAGGUGAAAUUCGUAGAUAUGUGUAGGAAUGCCGAUGAUGAAGAUAACUCACUGGACAGAAACUGACGCUGAAGUGCGAAAGCUAGGGGAGCAAACAGG